AUCCUUCUGUAGUUCUUAAGGUGAUGAAUAAGUUACCAUGUGCAUGUGUGAGAUGUUUUCCAUAAACUUUGUUAGAAAGUUGGCGCAUUACCCUUCUGACA